AACGAACGCUGGCGGCAUGCCUAACACAUGCAAGUCGAACGAUCCCUUCGGGGAUAGUGGCGCAAGGGUGUGUAACGCGUGGGAACCUGCCCUUAGGUUCGGAAUAACUCAGAGAAAUUUGAGCUAAUACCGGAUAAUGUCUUCGGACCAAAGAUUUAUCGCCUUUGGAUGGGCCCGCGUUGGAUUAGCUAGUUGGUGGGGUAAAGGCCUACCAAGGCGACGAUCCAUAGCUGGUCUGAGAGGAUGAUCAGCCACACUGGGACUGAGACACGGCCCAGACUCCUACGGGAGGCAGCAGUGGGGAAUAUUGGACAAUGGGCGAAAGCCUGAUCCAGCAAUGCCGCGUGAGUGAUGAAGGCCUUAGGGUUGUAAAGCUCUUUUACCCGGGAUGAUAAUGACAGUACCGGGAGAAUAAGCCCCGGCUAACUCCGUG
rnacentral:rRNA from 1 species